rnacentral:rRNA from 1 species
UACGGGAGGCAGCAGUAGGGAAUAUUGGGCAAUGGAUGCAAGUCUGACCCAGCCAUGCCGCGUGCCGGAUGAAGGCCCUCAGGGUUGUAAACGGCUUUUAUUCGGGAAGAAGAGCAGGGAUGCGUCCUUGUGUGACGGUACCGAAGAAUAG